rnacentral:rRNA from 1 species
GAUGAGCUCGCGUCUGAUUAGCUAGUUGGUGAGGUAAUGGCUCACCAAGGCUUCGAUCAGUAGCUGGUCUGAGAGGAUGAUCAGCCACACUGGGACUGAGACACGGCCCAGACUCCUACGGGAGGCAGCAGUGGGGAAUUUUCCGCAAUGGGCGAAAGCCUGACGGAGCAACGCCGCGUGAGGGACGAAGGCCUCUGGGCUGUAAACCUCUUUUCUCAAGGAAGAAGAUAUGACGGUACUUGAGGAAUAAGCCACGGCUAAUUCCGUGCCAGCAGCCGCGGUAAUACGGGAGUGGCAAGCGUUAUCCGGAAUUAUUGGGCGUAAAGCGUCCGCAGGCGGCUUUUCAAGUCUGCUGUUAAAGCGUGGAGCUUAACUCCAUCAUGGCAGUGGAAACUGAAAGGCUUGAGUAUGGUAGGGGCAGAGGGAAUUCCCGGUGUAGCGGUGAAAUGCGUAGAUAUCGGGAAGAACACCAGUGGCGAAGGCGCUCUGCUGGGCCAUUACUGACGCUCAUGGACGAAAGCCAGGGGAGCGAAAGGGAUUAGAUACCCCUGUAGUCCUGGCCGUAAACGAUGAACACUAGGUGUCGGGGGAAUCGACCCCUUCGGUGUCGUAGCUAACGCGUUAAGUGUUCCGCCUGGGGAGUACGCACGCAAGUGUGAAACUCAAAGGAAUUGACGGGGGCCCGCACAAGCGGUGGAGUAUGUGGUUUAAUUCGAUGCAACGCGAAGAACCUUACCAGGGUUUGACAUCCUGCGAACUUCUUAGAAAUUUGAGGGUGCCUUCGGGAAUGCAGUGACAGGUGGUGCAUGGCUGUCGUCAGCUCGUGUCGUGAGAUGUUGGGUUAAGUCCCGCAACGAGCGCAACCCACGUUUUUAGUUGCCAGCAUUUAGUUGGGCACUCUAGAAAGACCGCCGGUGAUAAACCGGAGGAAGGUGUGGAUGACGUCAAGUCAUCAUGCCCCUUACACCCUGGGCUACACACGUACUACAAUGCUACGGACAAAGGGCAGCAAACUCGCGAGAGCUAGCAAAUCCCGUAAACCGUGGCUCAGUUCAGAUCGUAGGCUGCAACUCGCCUACGUGAAGUAGGAAUCGCUAGUAAUCGCAGGUCAGCAUACUGCGGUGAAUACGUUCCCGGGCCUUGUACACACCGCCCGUCACACCAUGGAAGUUGGCCAUGCCCGAAGUCGUUACUCCAACCCUUGUGGAGGAGGACGCCGAAGGUGGGGCUAAUGACUGGGGUGAAGUCGUAACAAGGUAACCGUA